AGUAAGCCCAUAUUCUUGCGUUGUGUUUACGAAGCGUCUGUGCUUGAAUCCUUGAAAUUUAAUUUAUGAAGAACCGAUGCUCCGACACGACAGCUUCGUCGGGCUAAUUUUAACACAUGGAUGCCAGGGUGAAUCUGUUAGCUGACAGCAUGAAUGGACCUGGACAGAAUGAAGACAACAGUAAAUAUCCAAAGAGAAGUAAUUCAUCUGGUUCCAGUAGCCGAAGCUUGCCUCCACAAAAUGCUACAGAGACUACAACAUUGUCACCAGGAACUCAGCAGACAUACUUCUCAGAAGAAAAAAUUACUAUACCAGAUAUAGAUGGUGGUUCCUGGUUUAGUUUCAGAAAACUAUGGGCUUGUACUGGCCCUGGAUUUCUCAUGAGCAUUGCAUAUUUGGAUCCUGGAAAUAUUGAAUCGGACUUGCAAUCUGGAAGUGUUGCACAGUAUAAACUAUUAUGGGUGUUAAUGUCAGCUACUAUGCUUGGUCUGGUAAUGCAGAGGCUCUCAGCACGUCUUGGUGUUGUCACUGGCCUUCACCUAGCAGAAAUGUGCUAUCGCCAGUAUAGAAAAUUGCCUCGAAUAUUUUUGUGGAUAAUGGUAGAAGUUGCCAUUAUUGGUUCAGAUAUGCAAGAAGUUAUUGGUACAGCCAUAGCCAUAUAUCUUUUGUCAAAUAGGGUAGUCCCACUUUAUGUGGGUGUUCUAAUAACAGUUGUUGACACAUUUACUUUUUUGCUGCUCGACAAGUAUGGACUUCGCAAACUAGAGAUGCUCUUUGGUUUUUUAAUUUCUGUUAUGGCUGUUACCUUUGGUUAUGAGUAUGUUGUUGUGGCACCUGAUCAAGGGGAGGUUGUGAAAGGUCUGUUUUUUCCAUGGUGCUCAAACUGUGACAGCACAGCAUUACUCCAAGCAGUUGGGAUUGUUGGAGCAGUCAUUAUGCCACAUAACCUGUACCUGCAUUCAGCAUUAGUCAAGUCUCGAGAAGUCGACCGAAGGAAGCCAGAGAAAGUCCGUGAAGCAAAUAAAUACUUCUUCAUCGAAGCUUGCAUUGCAUUGUUUGUGAGUUUCAUCAUCAACAUUUUUGUGGUUUCAGUAUUUGCAAAAGGAUUGUAUAUGAAAACGAAUGAAGCUGUGUAUGAUCAGUGUGUGUCGAGCAACAAUAUACAUUACGAUGUUUUUCCGAACAACACUCAAUUGGUAGAUGCUGAUAUUUAUAAAGCUGGAGUCUUCUUGGGGUGUUAUUUUGGCAUAGCAACAAUGUAUAUAUGGGCAGUUGGCAUUUUAGCAGCUGGGCAGUCGAGUACUAUGACUGGAACAUAUGCGGGACAGUUUGCAAUGGAGGGAUUCCUGAAUCUACAGUGGUCAAGGUGGAAACGAAUCCUCUUCACAAGGACAAUUGCCAUUGUCCCAACAUUCUUUGUAGCAUUUUACAGUGAAAUAAAUCAACUAUCGGGCAUGAAUGACUUGUUAAAUGCUAUAAUGAGUCUACAAUUACCAUUUGCUACUAUACCAACAAUAGCAUUUACGAGCAGUCAAAAAAUUAUGGGUGAAUUUCAAAACGGAAUUGUAAUGAAUACAAUAUCCAUAGCGUUAUCAGUUGUUGUUAUCACUAUAAACAUUUACUUUGUUGUUCAUACGACGACAGAAUCUGUAACUGGAUGGUACUGGUACAUGCUGAUAUGUAUAUAUGCAGUAUUUUACUUGGUCAUGUGUGUAUAUUUAAUUAUGCACAUGAUGAACAGUAUGGCUCCAGGCAAAUUUGGUAACACAUUUAUUGCUAGACUGACAGAAGGGCCAGUCCCGGGAGACUUUGGAUUAAAUGGUGAUAAAUCAAGUACUGCUGAAGCAUCUGAAUAAUUAAAAUGUUACCUUAACAACUUGUGGUGAACUGAAAGGUUAUGCACAAGUCUGCAGCCCACAUCAAAUUUUCAUCGUGUGCUGUCCACUCUUUCCAGUCUUCAUCUCGUACAACUUUUUUAAUAUGUGAUGUGGCCGUAAAUGUAAUGCAGUGUUUUCGUCUCACCAAUGAGCCUCUCAUCAUUUUCCAUCCAAGAUGGUCAACAAGCAGUGAGCACAGUUGUUACUUCUAAUAUGUAUAGUUAAAUUAUGGACUUCUGUUAUUAUAUUAGAUUUUACUGAAACUGUACAUGUGUUUAAUCUUUCUAGAUAUGUUUCCUUGUACAUUAUAUCAGCAAAAUAUUUUUAAAAAGUACUUAAGAGGCACAGCAGAAAAGUAAUGUAGCAGUCUUUAUAAAAGCUAUACAUAUUAAUUAUGUACCAUUCAGAGUUAUGUUGCAAUGUUUGGAAAAUUUUCCUGCACAGUAGUCAUGCCGGAACUCUUUGCAUUCUGUUCACAUUCAACUGGUCUUAUACAUAGUACCAAAAUAGUGACUGUAAUAAUGAAUGGUCAGUUUAAGGACAGAAAACAUAGUGAUUUGCUCAGUCAUAUUUGUAAAUUGAGUUUGAGAAAAAGGGAAUGGGAGUGACUUGGGAAGGAGGAGAACCUAUGAGUUGCACUCUGUAUCCAAAAUUAAGUUACAGAGUGCACUGUUUAACAACAUAUUUUGCAUCACUCUAGUUAGUGCAGUUUUUUGCAACUUGUAAUUAGCUAGCUCUAUAUUGAAUAUUUGAAGCACUUCAUACUUCCAAUAUGUAAAGUUCUGUGAGGAAUUUUUUAUGUGGUGUACCAAAAUUGUAUCUACAAAUCUGGGAUAGUUGGGAAGUUGAAGACAGUUGUAAGGAUGGCUGUCAUAAAACAAGUGAGAGUUCCUUUUGUUUUUCAUUUCCUCCCUUUUGUGAGUUCUUUUUAUUUUCUUGUUUUUACCACAUGGUAGACUGACUGAAAGCCAGUCCCUACUUAUUCCCUGAGGUGUGUCAUUGUGCAUUUUUAUUGGUUUUUAAUGUGCAAGAUUUUCCAAAAACUGGUGACGUGUUAAGCAGUUUUAUUGGCAUUGGGAAAGGUAUUUGUCCAUCUCAGCUGUCAUAUUACACGCAAAAAUUUUAUUGCUCAGUGCCAUUUGAAAUUUUUUUUUCUUGUGCUGUUAUAACACAGCAUAAUAAAGCACUUUUAGAAAACAUUACGGAACUUCUUUCAUGUCAGAAAAGAAGUAUGAUUCACUCUGCAGCUCAGUGAAAUCUUGGCAGCUAGUCUACUCUUGUUCUUUUUCACAUUUCUUAUGUAAAUGCAUAACUCAUUAUAUUUUUUACCAGUUUACCCACCAUCAAUUAUUUUUACUGUCUCACUUUCUCUUGAAAAUAAAUUAGAAAUUUCUUGGUUUUAUUUUCUGUCAAAUGGGUAUUCGUGUUACACUUAUCUAUUAAACUUGUAACUGUAGGAAUAAUGUAUAUUCUGAGAAUCCACAUCUACAGUUACUUUCCUGCUUGCUAUCUGAAGUUGGACAGUAUCUUAACAAAGAUGCUGUACUAAAUGUCACACUAAGAAGAAACACAUUUGUUGUGAAUUUUUCAACACUUAGCAUUAGACAUGUUGCUAGAGCUUUAUUUUAGUGUGUUUCGUUAAAGUAUUUGCAUUGCUUGAAGAAAUACAGCAACCAACAAAUUAUAGCUUUAUUUUAUGGAAGGAUGCCUUUUUUGGCUUUCACCCAUCUUCAGCUUGUAUAUUACAUUUAUAUCUUCAUCAACAUAAUGUUUUUUUUAUCAACUGAAUUUUAAAUUUCUGCAGCUGCCUUGUGCAAAAUAACAAUUUGUUUAGCUACCACAUUUCUUGAAUUUUCUAUUUAAAGUUAAUUGAUAAUUAGGUGUACUCAUUUUUUAUUCUGUAAUUUGUGGCUCCUUUCUCCCCCUUCAUGUGAAUGGCACAAUAAAAUUGUCUGGUUGCUGUACUUCAAGUAGUGAAAUCCACAGCCAUGGAGCUCAGUUACUAUUAACAUGGAUAAAUGAGUGUCUUUGAGCUUUCUUGAGUCUCUGAUAGAUAAUUUUAGUUUCUUUAGAACAUAGUGUUGUAUUUCAUUUUAUGUAAACAAAUUGCUGCAUCUUUCCCCUCCCCUCCCUCUCUCCCUCUCCCUCUCCCCGCCUCCUUUUCUCUGCACCCUACUGCCCCCCUUUAUAUUGUUUCAACAAUAUAAAAACACAUUGUUAAGAUCUGUUCAUGGGUAGAAACCCCUAAUAGAUCUGAAGUUACGAUUUUUGAAGACUUCCUCCAUGCAACGAAUGGAAGCUGCAGACAACUAACGUAACAUUUUUCUUGUUUUGUAUCUGAAACAUUUGAGAAUUAAUUGUAAUAUGAUGUCGUAUUAUUAGUUUUCCAAAAUAUGCUGUGUAGUUCACAGAUAAAGAAAGACUAUUCCACCACUAUGGUUGUAACAAAAAAAAAUAUACAUAUUCCAGAUCUGUUCAUAGGUAGAAACCUCUAAUAGAUCUGAAAAAUACUGCUGUGCUGCAGAUUCUUUAUUUUUAUAGUAUACCGUUUGAUAUCUUCAUAAAUAGAUUGAGUCCUAAAUAAAUGAAAGAUGUCUGUUGUUUAUUGCCCAUCUAGAUGCUGGAACAUUAGUGGGCAAAUAGACACUUCAUUGUGAUUGCUUAGUAGAGACUGAUAUGUAAUUGUAUUCUGUCUAGUAUGCUGUUUGUUAGUAGUAUACAUUUCAUGUAGACUGAGUGUUAUUCACUCGCAUGCUAAUAAAGUACUUCUUCACUCAAUUAAUCAAUGUUAAUAUAAGUUGUUGACUGUUGUUUUGUUCAUAAUUAAAGAACUGUUAAAGAUACAGAAUGUAACAUCUGUUUAUACUGUUUUGUAAUGUGACAGGUAUGACAUAGGUGGUUGUUCACUGUCUCUGUGAUUUUUGACAACUGUGGCAAAAAUCUUGCCAGAAUAUGAAUUUUAACUGUAAUUUUGGAUAACCUGUUGGUACAGAAAAAAAUAUUGGCAAAUAAUCACCAUGCUACAAAUGACAGCACAUCUGAAAAAAAUACAGUGUUUAUUAUGCAUACAAUUUUAUGUUAAAUCUCUGUAACUGAUUUU